rnacentral:rRNA from 1 species
GAUGAACGCUAGCGGGAGGCCUAAUACAUGCAAGUCGAGCGGUAGAGUGACUUCGGUUGCUUGAGAGCGGCGCACGGGUGAGUAACGCGUACAUGACCUACCUUUAAGACUGGGAUAGCCCUGGGAAACUGGGAUUAAUACCGGAUGUGAUAAUACGUAUAGAGAUGUAUUAUUAAAGUUGAGGCGCUUAGAGAUGGAUGUGCGUCUGAUUAGCUAGUUGGUAGGGUAACGGCCUACCAAGGCUACGAUCAGUAGGGGGCGUGAGAGCGUGGCCCCCCANACGGGUACUGAGACACGGACCGACUCCUACGGAGGCAGCAGUAAGGAAUAUUGGUCAAUGGACGGAAGUCUGAACC